AUUAAGUUAGUUUAUACUUAAAACACUAGAUUGUGGUUCUAGAAAUAAAAAUCAUUUUACUUAAUC
rnacentral:tRNA from 1 species